UUUAACAAGUAGAUAACAUAAAAGACACAUAAACAGCAAUAGUAAAAACAAAAAGCAUAUAAUAUCAAAAUCAAAUAGGUAAUACAUUAUGCUGUUGUAUGUACAAUGGUCAGAGAGAAAUUACAACUCCUCAUAAGAAUAGUAAAAAAAAAAGAUUGGAGAUUUUAUUGAUAGAGAAAGAAAAAAACCCACUAACUAAACUGAAGCAAAAAAAAAGAGAGAGAGAGAAAAAAACAUCCUUCCAGUCAUUUCUGAACCUUCAUGGAUAAGGAUAUUCUCCAAAGAGAAUAAAGAAAAAUAAAUAAAUAAAGACAAAUUAAAUCAUGUGAAAAUAUUGAAUAAAGGGUCUCCAGACUUUUUCAAAAUCAAAGGAUGUAUGAAAUGUCCGGCUUCUAAUUUUCUCCAAACUUAAACAUGACAUAAUGGAGGAGAGCCAAUAGAAAACAGUGGGCAUAUUAGCAAAAUAGCUCUCUUAGCCAGUAAAGUUGAAAAAGCGAUCACAUGAUGGGUGGAAGCAGACACUCUGCUUGCUUCUUCUGGAAAGAUCCCAAAACUUGCUGUAAGUGGAUUAGGAUGAACAUCCAUAUCUAUAACUUUAGAUAAUGUUCCAAACACAUCCCUCCAAAAAUUAUUUAAACUUACAAAUGACCAAAACAUUUGGGUUAGAGUAGCCACUUCUGUGUUACAACUGUCACAAAUAGGGCUUAUAUUAGGAAAAUAUAUGCACCAAUUCAUCUUUGGACAUAUGGGCCCUAUGUCCUAUCUUAAAGUGAAUUAAAAUAGGCGUGCACAGAUAGAUGAAUUAUUAACUACAUAAUAAAUUUUACUCCAUUGGUCAUCUGAGAGUGAAUGUUGACGUUCUACUUCCCAGGAGCGUUGAACCCUAUCAUUUGGCGAUGUGCGAGCAUUCGUUAACUGUUUAUAAAUGAUAGUUAUUAAUUGUUUUUGAAAAGGUUUAAACUGAAAAAUAACAUAAGCCAGAUUUAAAGAGCAGGCCAAGGGGUAAUUUGGUAAAAAAUCAUGUAAGAAAUACCUAACCUGUAAAUACCUGAAAAAAUGUGUAUUAGAGAUAUCAUAUUUAUCCAUUAACUGUGAAAAAGACAUUAAACAGUCUUGUAAAAACAAGUCUAAGAAAAGUUGUUAUUCCCUUAAUUUUCCAUGUAAGUAAAGCCUUAUCCAAAGUUGACGGUUUAAAAAAAAUUAGAAUAACUAUUACCAGAAAGUAAAAAAUCAUUUAAUUCAAAAAAUCUACAAAAUUGAAACCACAUUUUUAAGGUUUGUUUAACAAUAGGGUUAAGAGCUUGACUACUUAUUCUGGAGAGCGAAAACGGAAGGGGAGCUCCUAAUAAAGAAGCUAACGAAAACCCCACUACUGAAUUUUCCUCCAGCUGUAACCAUGAAGGGCAAACUUGAUCGUCUAUACCAUAAAUCCAAAAAGUAAUAUAGCAAAUAUUAAUUGCCCAAUAAUAAAAUCUAAAGUUUGAUAAAGCCAGUCCUCCAUCUUUUUUGAUUUUUGCAAUAAACGUUUAUGCACUCUAGAGCUUCUAUUAUUCCAAACAUAAGACAGAAUUAGAGAGUCUAUUUAAUCAAAACAUGUUUUUGGGAGAAAAUAGGGAACUUCUUGAAAUAUAUAUAAAAAUUUUGGUAAAAUAACCAUUUUUAUAGCAUUUAUUCGACCUAUCAGUGACAUCGACAUAGGUGACCAUUUGGAAAACACCUGUUGAGUAUAUUCAGUUAAAGGAAGGAAAUUAUACCUAUAUAGGUCUUUAAAAUAUUUGUAAUUUUGAUACCUAGGUAUGUAAAAUAGUUUUUGGCAAUAUUAAAAGGUAUUUGAUCAUAAUAAUCAAAACAAUUAUUAAUAGGAAAUAAUUCACAUUUAUGUAAAUUAAGUUAAUAUCCAAAAAAAGUACCAAAUUCCAUAAAUACAGAUAACAUAGAAAGAAUAGAUUUCUUAGGAUUUGAAAUGUAAACUAAUAAAUCAUCCGCAUAUAACGAAACUUUAUGUAAUUUAUCCCCUCUCCUAAUACCCUGCACAGAAUUGGAACCCCUAAGAGCAAUAGCAAGUGGUUCUAAAGCCAAAUUAAAUAAUAAAGGGCUAAGGGAACAACCCUGACAGGUACCUCUAUAUAAUCUAAAGUAAGGAUACAUUUGAUAUUAGUUAGAACCGCAGCUACUGGGGCAUGAUAAAUCAAUUUAAUCCAGGAGAUAAAUCCUGGACCAAAAUUGAACCUCUUUAAAACCUGAAAUAAAUAAGGCCACUCCACCCUAUCAAAGGUUUUCUCUGCAUCCAGAGAUACAAUACAUUCAGAUUAUUUGGCUGAGGGGGAAUAAAUGAUAUUUAAUAAUCUUCGAAUAUUAAAAUGUGAGUACCUAUUUUUAAUAACUCCUGCUUGAUUGUUUGAGAUAACAUUAGGCAACAUACUCUCAAGCCUAUUUGCUAGAAUCUUAGAGAGGAUUUUAAAAUCUACAUUCAGUAAAGAAAUAGGUCUAUAGGAUAUACAUUCCAGUGGGUCCUUCCCUUUUUUUGGAAUCAAUGAAAUUAAUGCUUCAUAAAAAGUUUUAGGAAGGUUCCCAGAAGAUGUAGAAUCGGUGAACGUUUAAUGAAGAUGUGGUAAAAGCAUUUCAUGAAAGGUCUUAUAAAAUUCUAUGUAUCCCCAUCAGGUCCCAGAGCUUUACCUAAUUGCAUAGAGGAUAUAGCCUUGGCUAUCUCCUCUUGUUUAAUAGGUGCAUCUAACAUAUCAGCAUCUUGAAUCGAGAUUUGAGGUAUGUUUAACCUUUGCAAAAAUCUAUUCAUGGUAAUAUUACUAUCAGAGAAUUCAGAUUUAUAAAGUUUAGAAUAAAAGUCCAUAAAUAUCUUAUUAAUUUCAUGAGGAUCUAAAGUUUCUGUUCUAUCUGUUUGGCGAAUUUUUUAAAUCUGUCUUGCGACCAUCCCAGCCUUUAACUGACCCGCUAGAAGUUUAGCAGAUUUUUCCCCAUGUAUAUAAAAUAAACUUUUAGAUUUAAAAAUUUGCUGUUCAAUGGGAAAGGUCAGAAGUAAAUCAUACUGUGAUUGAAGUUCGACCCUUUCUUUAUGUAGGUCAUCAGUAGGUCUAACUGAAUACGCUUUAUCUAUCUGUUUAACUUUAUUGAUAAACACUGACAAUUCAGCUUUAGUUUUCUUUCUCAAGGCUGCUGAAUAUGAGAUUAGCUGUCCCCUAAGAAAAGAUUUCAAGGUGUCCCAUAUAACCAGAUUUGACAUUCCUUCAGUUGUAUUAAAUUCAAAAAAUAUAGAAAUUUGCUCCUUUAUAAAAUUAACAAAAGCUGGAUCCUGUAACAAAACGGGGUUCAAUCUCCACUGAGAGAUUUUCAAAUAUCUAUCCGGGAGCUUAAGGGUUAACGUUAAAGGCGCGUGAUCUGAAAUCGCAAUGAUGUCAUACGCACAUUCAAGAACGGAGUUUAACAGACGUGUAAAAAAGUAAUCAAUUCGAGAAUAUUUGUAAUGGACGUGUGAAAAAAAGGAAAAAUCUUUAUCAUUAGGGAGUUUAUAUCUCCAAAUAUCAACAAGGCCAUAUUCUAAUAAAAAAGAGUUAAUACAAGCUGCCGCUUUGAUAGGAAGCGACGGAUUGGUUGAUCGCCGGAUUUAAGCAACAAUUAAAGUCACUACCCAUGAUCAGUUUAUAUUCAUUGAGCUUCGGUAACAAUGAAAAAAGUUUCUUAAAAAAAUAGAAUUAUCUACAUUAGCUGCGUAUACACACACCAGAGCUACAUUUUGCUCGCAUAAUAAGCCGGUAACAAGUAAAUAUCUUCCAAUCAAAUCAGUAGUAGUACUAAGGUGUACAGAAGGGAUUUUGGGACUAAUAAAUACAUAAACGCCUCUUGCUUUACUAUGCGACAGUGAGUGAAAAAGAGGACCUUUCCAAACGCGAAAAAAUCUACCCCCAUCCUGUUUUCGUAUAUGAUUUUCUUGCGCAAAAAUAUCAGCAUUAAGUGUUUUUAAUUUCUUUAAAAUCUUUUUACGCUUAAUGGGAUGAUUGACACCGUUCCAAUUCCAAGAUAUUAAUUUUAUUAACAUCCAUGUUUAAUAUUAUAUAAAAGAAAUGUUACGCAAGUACAGAUUAAACGAAAAGGCGCGGGUACAACCAGAAGGACCGACGCAUUUACGAAACAAAAAUCCAUCAAAAGAACUGUCCAAUCAAGAAAAAAACUACUCUAAUGGACCCACCCCCUCCCGCCACCCAAUAGAAUGAAAGAAAGGAACCGAUAGGCUGGUCCCAUGCUAGCUAAUAACCUUUAACCCUGUUCUCAUCUUGCCCCUCCAUAUAUAAAAAAAACAAAAAUCCCACGGAAAAUAGCUAUAAUAAAAGGCAUAAACAGAACUCAAUUACUAUAAUGUGUCUAACAUUCAUAAAAACAUAAUCAACAACGGCCAUUUUAGAAUCAGCUAAAGUAGCUUAAACACAUAUUCAAAAAAGGAAUAAAUCCGAGCAAAUAAUGUUACAAAGAAUAUUCUUUCUCUCGAGAAAGAAAAAUAAAUGAAUUUAUAUAUAUAUAUAACAGAACUAAAACUAUAAGUAUUGGAACAAAUAAAAGAAAUAAAAAGAUUAGUACACAACAGGUCCUACACGGACCGUUAAAGUACAAUACUAUAAAUGUUCCUACAAAACAGAUAUAUAUGUAUUAAUUAUUAAUAAGGUAAAAAAAAUUAAGUCGACCACGUCCCAUACCAGAGAUUGAAAAGGUAUAACAUGUACUUAACUCAAGAGCUCCAUAAACAACUCAUACAGCAGAUACUUUAAAAUUGCCUAUUGAAUAAUCGGUGUAACUUUAAUAUUUUAUUCCGGAGGCUUAACUUUAAGGUUUUUAAUAUACUCCCAUCCCUCCUGAGGAGAAGAGAUUCUCAAUGGUUGAGAGUUUUCGGUAAAAGUUAUCAGCUUUGCUGGAAAGCGAAGGGAGGGGUUUAAAUCUAAUUUAUACAUUUCACUCAUAACUUCUCGAUAUUUCUUUUUUUCGGCAAAGAUUUCGGGAGGAUAGUCUUGAACUAUACGAAUCUGUGUUGAAUUAAAGAGUAAUUUCCGUUUCAUUCUGGCUUCUCGAAGAAUAGCUUCUUUAGUCGUGUAAUAAUGCAAAGAAAGUACAACUGCUCGAGGACGUAAUUCGGCAGAACGGCGAGAGAAUGGAAUUCUGUGAGCUCUGUCGAUUAAGGGUCUAGUUUCGAGGGUGUCAUUGAAAAGUGAAUACAGCAUAUCUGAAAAGAAUUUUUACAGAUCGCCAGCUUCAGUAUUUUCAGGCAGUCGCAGAAUAGGCAGAUUCCUCCGACGCCCUCUACUAUCUAAAUCAACCAUUCUUUUCUUUCUUUUUAGAUAGUUCCGAGGUAAUUUCAUUGAUUUUCUUUUCCAUCGAAGAUAUCUUCAUUCCUUGAUCUUUAAUAGUUUGCUUGAAUAAAUCAUGCUCACUCUCGAUUCGGCUUGUAGUCUGCUGAAGUGUUUCAAGUUGAGAAUCCAAGUUUUUCAGCGAGUCUUGCUUGAAUCGUAGAAAUAACUUUUUCGAGAUUCCCAUUUGAACCGGUCAGUUUUUCAAUUUUAAUAUUAAGUGAUCCGAAUUCCGACUUCAUGUCUUGUAUUGAAGGAAAUAUUCCCGCUAGUGUACAGAUUCCUCCGUUUUCUUGGUUUGUUCCGUUUGUUCUAUUUCACGAAACGUCUUGCCGCUUCUUAAUUCAAUACCAGAACGACUUUUUUUUCGGCCAUUCUAAUUAAGUCGUGAAAUCCUUCAGUAGAAGUAGUAAGUCAUCAGAACUAAAAGGGAUCUGUUAGUGGGAUAGAAACGCGACCAUAUGCUGCAGAGAUGGAGACCGGUAAUAAACUUACAUUGAACAAUAUUUUUAAAAGUUUCUGCCUCUUUGCCAUCAGAUUUCUGAAUGGGAAUUGAGCUCUCCGCUAUUUCUCUUUUGCAUUACUUAUUAUUGUCAUCGUAACGUAAAGGAAUUUGUUUGCACUCUGCUGUCGAAAACAAAUGCUGCGAUUUAUAUCAGUGAGAAUAAACCUAGUUCUGUUUCUGAUGCCUGCAGAGGGCGUGCUAUCACUGCCAUUACAGCAGCGAUCAAAACUGAUCUUGUAGUAACCUCUCGUGUGCUAGUUUCUUUGUUUAAAAACUAUUAAAAAUAGAUCCCUAAUAAAUAAGGUGGAACUGAGCAUUUGAUAUAAUAUCAUACCAAGUCAAAUCAUAAACAAGUUUUUGUUUCUAAAGUUUAUCUUCACCUUAGUAAUUCAUUUUUAGAGAAUGAAGAUUUUUAACUGCCUGACUUUCCCAGCUGAAUACUUAAAUCAGACAGUAAACAUGCUGUGACAGAUCCAGCGGAAAGCCCCACUCAGCAGCUUACUUCGGGAAAACUGAGCAAACAUAUAACACUGACCCCUGACGUCGACAAUGGGCUUUUGUGGCAUCAGAUUUCGGUCUGUGGAGGAAUGGUCAAGACAGCAGAGGAGCACUGUAUAUAAUGCAGCCGUCACACCGUUCCAGCAAACUUGAUUCUGGCCUCCAGUACCCACUGCGAAGACCACAUUUUUCAAGUUCAAGUAGAAGUUCAAGUUUAUUUCAUUCAAUGGUACACACAUAUACAGGUAGAUGAAACAACGUUCCUCUGGGACCAAGGUGCAAAUCACAAUCACAAAGAAUGCCGGACCUGACACCAAUCCCAGUGAUGUACCACCAGUCACAGAUCACCAAUCUGCUAAACAAACUUCAGUCCCUGCCUAUACUCCAUUGUUACUGUCCUCUGUGUGUUCCCUGUAUUGUCAGCACUACAUUUCCCAAAAAUAUACAGUAUUCAUCACAUACAGUGAAUGUGUUUGGUAUUUACCAUUCUCUACAAUUGCUUCACAAUCAUAUCAAACCCUUCUCUUACAAUCCAUGACUCACAUUUUCACUUUAAACAAUAGACUAGGAAGUUUGAGGGGGUGUUGCUUGUAUCCUGAGACAAGACUGCAGAAAUUCUGUGAAAAUCCAGACAAAAUCUAAAGCCACAAAAUGCUGGAGGAGCUCAGCAGGCCAGGCAGCCUCUAUGAAAAAGCGUAAACAGUCAAUUAUUCAGGCUGAGACCCUUCGUCAGGAUUGGAAAGGAAGGGGAAAAGUCAGAUAAGAAGGUGGAAGAAGAGCAGGAAGCAGUACAGAGUGAAACAGGGAGAGGGGAACAGGUGAAGUAAAGAGCUGGGUAGUUGAUUUGUGACAGGGAGAAAGGGCUGGAGGGGAGGAAUUCAAUAGCUGAGGACAGAAGACCAUGGAAGAAAGGGAAGGGGGAGGGGCGCCAGAGGGAAAUGAUGGGCAGAUUAGAAGAGAAGGCUUGAGGCAGAAACAAGAAUGGGGAAUGGUAAAGGAGAGGGGAGGGGAUUACUGGAACUUCAAGAAAUCAAUGCUCAUGCCAUCAGCUUGGUAGCUGCCCAAGCAGAAUAUAACUUGUUGCUCCUCAAACCUGAGUCUGGUCUUUUCCCGACAACAGAGGAGGGCAUGGACUGACACAUCAGACUGGAA